rnacentral:lncRNA from 1 species
GAGAUAAAUAGUUGGGAGCUAGAGCUCGCUAGAGAGUCUAAGAUUGAGCUAAAUAUUUCCUGAUCUCUCGAGAAAGGGGGAGGGGAGUGGGAGGAUUAAAUGUUCCUUCCUUCAGGGCAGUGGUUAGGCUUUCUCUCCACCAAAAUCUAACUUUAGCUGUAAAGAAGACUGCAGUUAUGUAGUACUUUGUAUCCAGGGAUCUCAAAGAACUUUACGCAUCAUUUAUUGUGAACCUUGUUUUGCAAAGAUUUCAGUUACUUGAGGCUUGGGAGGCGGAUAGGGGAUAAAUGUCUGAGUUAUAUAUAUAUUUACGCAAGUAAUCGAGUUUGAGGGGAGAGACACAAAACCUCUGGUUUAGCGGUUUCCUCUUGUUUGUGAAGCACCUUCUAGCAGUUAUCUUAGAGAUGUAAGUUCAUUUACUUGUCCAGCACUAAAAGGCCAAAGGGGCUUGUUUUCUCACCCAAAAGACCUUCCUGAGGCAGCUGUUCGGAUACAUGCAGAGCACAGCGCCCUGCUCAGAAAGGAAGGUUCAGAGAACAAAUUGUCGUUUAAAACUAUUGGGACAAACCUACCUCUUCUAAAGCUUAAAAUGGUCUCCAGCGUACCAGGAUUUGUGAAGGCCUGAAGUUCGUAGAAUGAAAUCUAUGUGGAGAUGAUUUAAAAGAACGGUUUCACUGCUGUCUCCUCUCUGUCCCUUUUUAGAGACCAACACAUAUAAACCAAGUCUACACAAGAAACAAAGCUAAAAUCCUUUCGAAAUGAGUUCCUUUAAGUUCUUCAGUAACUAAAUCCUCCAGAAAGGAAAGCCGAGAGAAUCUAGUCCUAUACAAUAACACCCUCUAACAAAGAUCGCUAAAGGAAGAUUUUAGUAGAUGAAUAUCUUCAAUAAUACAUGGUCACAUACAUGUAUCUGACCAUAUGAUGGCUCUCUGCACCAAAUUCCUCCAAACUAUUAUAAUAUGUAUUGUCUGUAGUGCUAUUUAUUUGGCAGUUAAUCAUGUAUUACAUUGUGACAUUUCUUACAGUGAACCAUUAUGUAUGUGUUUAUGUUCUGCCCUCAACUACUCAAUGCCAGUACCUUAUUCUUAACACAGCAACCACCCUUUCUGGUCUGUCCUCACACCCUCAUUCCCAUCAUAGUUAUUCUCCUCUCUCAUGGAAAUGUUCAGUUUCUGGACAUCUCCUUUCUCUUCCAUUCUUCACCUGACCUUCCUUCCUUUCUUGGCCAGCCUGAAUAUUAUAAAGGGAAUUUUAUUUCAAACCCAGGAUCGCACUUAAGAGGAAAAGAAACAAAAGCCAGUUCUUUUUAUUGCACAUAGAACAAGGAGAAACUCCACCCCUUUUGUUGUCUGGUAUGUUUAAAACAAGAAAGAACUUUAGAAAAGUAGGAUAUGAGUGAAAAUUACAACCAAUGUUGAGAACUACUUUUUAAUUUUUUAUUACAAAAUUAGGAUGAUACUUCAUUAAACAUUGUACAUCAUUUCAAAACUGUUAUCUCAUAAUCAUGUUGCUUGUUUUGAAUUAUUCUUUUAAAGUGUAAUUUUUUUAAGCAAAGAAUCCAUAAAAUUACAUGGCUUGGAUGUACCAUAACUUACUUAAUCCUUAUGCUAUUGUUUAAUAUGUGGGUUGUUUCAGAUUUUUCAUGAUUGUAAAUAACAAAAUAAACUUCCUUAUACUUAA